GAGUAACACGUAUCCAACCUGCCGUCUACUCUUGGCCAGCCUUCUGAAAGGAAGAUUAAUCCAGGAUGGGAUCAUGAGUUCACAUGUCCGCAUGAUUAAAGGUAUUUUCCGGUAGACGAUGGGGAUGCGUUCCAUUAGAUAGUAGGCGGGGUAACGGCCCACCUAGUCAACGAUGGAUAGGGGUUCUGAGAGGAAGGUCCCCCACAUUGGAACUGAGACACGGUCCAAACUCCUACGGGAGGCAGCAGUGAGGAAUAUUGGUCAAUGGGCGAUGGCCUGAACCAGCCAAGUAGCGUGAAGGAUGACUGCCCUAUGGGUUGUAAACUUCUUUUAUAAAGGAAUAAAGUCGGGUAUGCAUACCCGUUUGCAUGUACUUUAUGAAUAAGGAUCGGCUAACUCCGUGCCAGCAGCCGCGGUAAUACGGAGGAUCCGAGCGUUAUCCGGAUUUAUUGGGUUUAAAGGGAGCGUAUAUGGAUGUUUAAGUCAGUUGUGAAAGUUUGCGGCUCAACCGUAAAAUUGCA
rnacentral:rRNA from 1 species